UUCCUACGGGAGGCAGCAGUGAGGAAUAUUGGUCAAUGGUCGGGAGACUGAACCAGCCAAGCCGCGUGAGGGAUGAAGGUACAGAGUAUCGUAAACCUCUUUUGUCAGGGAACAAAGGCGGGGACGUGUCCCCGGAUGAGUGUACCUGAAGAAAAAGCAUCGGCUAACUCCGUGCCAGCAGCCGCGGUAAUACGUAGGUGGCAAGCGUUAUCCGGAUUUACUGGGUGUAAAGGGCGUGUAGGCG
rnacentral:rRNA from 1 species